rnacentral:rRNA from 1 species
AACGAACGCUGGCGGCAUGCCUAACACAUGCAAGUCGAACGAGACCUUCGGGUCUAGUGGCGCACGGGUGCGUAACGCGUGGGAACCUGCCCUUAGGUUCGGAAUAACUCCCCGAAAGGGGUGCUAAUACCGGAUAAUGUCUUCGGACCAAAGAUUUAUCGCCUUUGGAUGGGUCCGCGUUGGAUUAGCUAGUUGGUAGGGUAAAAGCCUACCAAGGCGACGAUCCAUAGCUGGUCUGAGAGGAUGAUCAGCCACACUGGGACUGAGACACGGCGCAGACUCCUACGGGAGGCAGCAGUGGGGAAUAUUGGACAAUGGGCGAGAGCCUGAUCCAGCAAUGCCGCGUGAGUGAUGAAGGCCUUAGGGUUGUAAAGCUCUUUUACCCGGGAUGAUAAUGACAGUACCGGGAGAAUAAGCUCCGGCUAACUCCGUG